GGCUGGGUGUGAAAUGGGAGCCCGGCUCUGCCACCAGCCUCUGCCACUGCCCCUUUGCUGGGCGGGGCUGGGGCAGGGGCAGCCAGCCUGCCAAAAACAAACCCCUGUGGGGGGAGCAAAGGUGGGGCUGCAGAACACCAGCUGCUUUGGGCUGCAGGCCAGGAAAGGCUUGGGCUGCCUUGGCUUAGGAGCCUUUCUUUGGGCCAAUGCAGCAGGGCAGGGAGAAGGCCUGGGUUUUCCUUAGCUGGAGGAGGUGGGGUUUUUCUUUGGCCUGGAGGGGUUGGGCCUUCCUCAGAACCCUGACAGAAUGUUAACAUUUUACCUUUUUGUCUUGUUUCCACUUUUUGUUUGUAAUCUCUUGUCAUGAAUUUGUUGUUUGUUUUCCAGGGAAGAGUUGGAGCUGGUGCCCAGUCUGGAUUGGGAAGGGCUGGGACCAUCCCUGGAGAGGAUCUGACGUCCCCUCUGAGAAGGCUGAGGACAUCCUUUGGGACACGCUCUUCUUCUGGCAGCAGAUCUUGUGAGACAGGACACCUCUGCCUGAUCUCCCACAGAUCUGAGGGAUCUCUGGAUCUUCACGCCAACACCAGGACUUUGCUGGAGAAGAGCACAGAUCCCCAGCCCAGUCUGGGACACAGAACCCUCUGAAAUGGCAGAAGGAUUGUGGUGUGAAUGCAGCACCCUCAGAGCCCUUGGUGUGAGCCCGGAAAGGAAAAUCAAGGGAAAUGGUUAAAGCCUUGUUGUUCAAUGUGGAGCACAGGAGAACUUUGUUCUCAUUGUCUCCCCGAUAAGGAGGAGGACUCAGAUCUUCUGGUUGGCCCCACGGGCAGGUUGAGUGGGGGAACAGAAAAUCAAGAUGCAGAAACCAAUCUUGCAGGGGAACUGGCAUGUGAAGAGGCAGAUUUAGCAUGUCCAGAAGAAAAGGGAGAGAGAAUGUGUCAGAGAGAGAGCAGAGAGCUUCAGUGCAGCUGCAGGAAGAACUAGAGCUGAACAAGGAGGGGUGGGAGUGGCCCCCCUGUGUGAUAGAACCCAGACUAAAUGGCAAAAGCCUUCAAAAUGAUGAUUCAAACCCAGGAUCUGGGCUAGAAGGAUCCUAUGUUAGAAGUGUUGUUUGGUAGUAGGGAGAAAGCAAUGGUUGUUAAAAUCAGUCAGAGGUUUUUGGAAGAGCAGAUUUUGGUGGGGAAUAUACAGAGUACAUUGGACAUUCCCUUUCCCACUGCGGAUCCUGAAUGGGAUCCUAACAUCCCUAUUUUUAGAGAAAGGUUCAAUAGAUACCUGCAGUGGAUGUUGUCUGCAAUGAAACAUGCCAGGCCAAAGGCAAUGAACACGUCAAAAUUCUCUGCAAUGAAGCAGGAUCACAGGGAAUAGCCUACUGAAUUUUUAAAUCAUCUGGAAGAAACAGCACAAAAAUAUACUAAUAUCCAUCCUGAAACACGGGGGGAAGGACUCAACUGGCCCCCAUAUUUGUGGGGCAGUCCUCAGAUGUGGUUAGGAGGGAAUGACAAAAAGCUGAGGGACAAGAUCAAUCUAAUUUAGGGACAUUGUUGGAGGUUGGGAGAAUCAGCAGGAAUCAGCUAAGCAGGAA